UACAGAGGUCUCGAGCGUUAGGCGGAAUCACUGGGCUUAAAGCGUGUGUAGGUGGAUCGGUAAGUACCUUGUGAAAUCCCACAGCUUAACUGUGGAACUGCUUGGUAUACUGCCAGUCUUGAGCCAGCUAGGGGCUACCGGAACAAAUGGUGGAGCGGUGAAAUGCGCAGAUAUCAGGAGGAACACCAAUGGCGAAGGCAGCUCGCUGGGACGGUACUGACGCUGGAGACGCGAAAGCGUGGGGAGCAAACAGG
rnacentral:rRNA from 1 species